AAGCAAUUUGCUCAUAGCCAUAGCUUUCUUGUGAAAGUAGGAUAUUAACCCAGGUGUCUUGGUGCUGGAGAACAGAACUGGCCAGAGUCCAUCCUGUCUCCCACCGGCAUCCCAUUACGAAAUGAACACAGAAAAGGCAGGUCUGCAAUGCCAACAUCUAGUAUCUAUCCCAAAGACCAGGGAGAAAGGAAGGAAAGAUUCUGGUUCUGUCCUCUUCCCCAAGGCAAGGCUGGCUGCCCUACCAACAGAGGCAAAGAGAAGAGUGUGCAAGGCUGGCUGCCCUCCCAACAGAGGCAAAGAGGAGUGUGUGUUGAAAUAUCCAUUGAAUCCCUGAGACAACUGGAUCCUGGCCCAUUGAAUCAUAAACUCAGCAGAAUCUCACAUCAUAACCCCAAAUGACCUGUUACUCACCAUGUGGCCCAGCUGUCUUCAAACUCACCAGCCUCCUGCCUUAGCCUUCUAAAUGCUUGGAUUACAGGCAUGACCCACCAUAACUGGCUUUGUUUUAGUUUCAGAGAAGAUGAAACUGAUGUGCGUCAAAAAGUUAUGGAGGCUGGGAAGACCUAGAAUGUGGCAUCACUAUUUGCUGAAAUUUUUAAUAUAAUGCCUCUUAGCCUGGUUUGGAGAAAACGUCACAGAGAGGCACCAUUUGUUGUGGUUUUACAUGAAAAUUUUCUGACCCUGAACCUGGUUUGAUGGAAAUCAUUUGCUGAGGAAACCAUGCCGAUUACCGACCGAGCUCUCAAUGGAAAAAUGCAGUCGGCGUGAACCACGCACGAACACAGCAGAGAAAGAAGAAAACACACACCACGAGGAACCCUAAUAGGACAAUACAUUAUAAGCCUCAUGGUACAUCCACUUGGUGUGCUGGGAGAGUCAGGAUGAGGACCUGAGAAGAACAGCAGCUUGAACCUGACUUCAUUUAACAGCCCACUGCCCUCUUGCCAAGAACCCAUCACAGACCUUCCCAGAAGAGAGGGAUGAGCCUCACCUAUGAAUAAGUCCUCAGAAACUCAAAUUUGAUUCUAAUGGAUUGUUUUCUCAGAAAGACUGAGCAUGUCCCCCCACAUCUCUGUCAUUUCCCACAGUAGUAACCUCUGCAGAUGCCACAUAGAAAACAAAACAAAACAAAAAAACAUGAGGUUGGUGGGCAGAUAGGCAGGGUAUAAACAAACAGCCUUGUAACCCAGAAGCUGUGUGAUAUACAGUAAACUUCACAACACUGAAAAGAUGUCCUAUCUGUUAAAAUGGGGUAAUAACAACUACCCGAAUGUUUAGGAAUAGAACUUCAAUAAAUGAUACAUUUUAUAGUACAGCAGACCAUCCUGUAAAGGUUUCAUCCUUCACUGUGGUGAUAAAUAUCCCAAACCACAUUGAAAAGCAUUGCAUCUACAUUUAUCUACACUGUAACUGUACUGUAAAUCAUGGGGGAGGGGAGAAUCAUAAAAACACCACCUGUCACCGUGUCAUUAAAGCAAGUUGGAAGUGAUACUUACAGAAACACAGCAAGAGCACCCCCAGUCACACAGUUCAAUCUCUUAGCAAGCGUUUUCUUUCUAGCCCAGUGGUUCUCAGUUUGGAAUUUUUGGCACUGCCUAGAGAUAGUUUUGUUGUUAAAACUGAGAAAAGAGCCGGGCGUGGUGGCACACGCCUUUAAUCCCAGCACUCAGGAGGCAGAGGCAGG
rnacentral:lncRNA from 1 species